ensembl:lncRNA
CCGAGUUGUGUGUUGGUCAACCAAAGGGCUCCGUCUCUGCUUCCUGUUUAGUCUCAAUGCAGGCCUUGUGCUGGCAGGGCAGAACCAAAACGAGGUGCUAGUGAGCUGAGAGCUAUUGGUUCUGGGUUGCUGGGAGCCCUGAAGGGGUCAAGACUGGGAUUUUGUUUUGUUUGCGCACUCGGGAUAAAGUGCUGGAGUAAUAUCUUGGGCUGUCUUUGUCAGGAGCUUUAGCUGCUGCCUUCCUUAGCGUUUGUGUGGAUAUCUUUCCAACAUUUGGUGCACUGCAAUUAAGUCAGCGUCAGAAGCUGUAAGAUGAAAGAUGAGUGGGAGGGGAGAGAAAAAUAGAGCGAUAACCAAAGGCUGUUGCCAGCAAGAACUAAAGAAACAGCACCAAAUGAUUGGCAAAGUACCCUUUGGCUUCUUUCAUACAGUCCUUCAUCACAAGCAAUAAAGCACCUCUUGAGUUGUUCUUCGCCUACUGGUUGUAAAUCCUAAUGUCUGUGUUCCCAGACCUCACAACAGCCUCUGCUCUCCGGGAGUCCAACUGCUGGGCACGUGGAGCAGACAGAGGAGUCAAAAUGACGAUGGGAAGAGUAGCAAUCACUGAAUUUCUCACUCUCCACCAGGGAAUCUGCUCCAAAGAAGGGGGAGCAGCCACCUUCCCCCCGAACAGAGCAUGUGGAAGUGAUGUCCUCAUUUCUCUUCUGCCUCACCAGGUGAACCCUGAGGCUGAGGGUAAGGGAGGAGAACAGAGGGCCCAGGAGAAUGGCAAAGCUGGCAAAAGCUGGACUGAAUGUCUGCAUAGUUAGCAAAGGACGUGGCCUGGAAAGGGAGACCUCGGUGUCGUGGAGGGCCCUUGCCUGAAUGUGAUGCCUAUAGGCCAUAUUUUAAAACAAAACACUAACACAUUCAGCCUUCCUUGCUUUUGCUCCAAAUCACUGCAGCCGUGGACUGGAGUUUUCCCAUUUAGGUGGAGCAGCAAAGCUGAAUGGGAACGUCUGGCUUCUUUCAGAGCUCCACCAGUGCAGACCUCCCUCACGAAAGCCACGGUGAUGUCACGUCCAGCAGCACAGGAGGGGAUCAGAGCGUGCUCCUACCCAUUCAGCACAGCCCCGAGAUUACUUUUAACCAAGGUCACUUCUGCAGUUCACUUGACAACAGCCUGGGCAGCGGCACACUACUGGCACAGCCUGCGGACUGCUAUAGGGAUGGGAGGACAAACAGUGACAAUUGUCUCCCGGAUUUACUGCGUCGAAGCUGUGCCGCGGCCGCCUUCUGAUCAGAAGUGGGUAGAUAAAUCUGCUCCGUGUUCUGCAGUGACUGCCUGCUGCCCUGAAGGAAGCGUGUCAUGUCUGCAAGGAAGCGUUUCAACCUGCAGCCGUGGAGUACGAACAGCAUCAAUCACUCCUUUCCAACAAAGGUUGGGUUGUGCUGAGCCCUAAUCUUUUAAAUAAGACCUACUGUAACAUGCACAGAAUGUUUCCCAUGUUGGAUUCUACCUUACAAGCACUGAUUACGCCCACUGAUGCUUCAUGAGACAACCAAGCCAGACUUGUGCCUCGAUUUGAAAAUACUCUGACACAAUAAAAG